AAACCGUGCUGUUGGCAUAAACUGACAAGAUCCUUGAACUGCUCCCAACAUUGAAAGAAUGUUUCAUCUUCCUUUUUAGCGAAGUUCAUGAUCAACUUCCUGAUUGU